UUUUAAUUUUUUGACUGACCAUAAACUACGCACUUCGCGACCUAUUUUUUAACCGGCAACGUCGACUUUGCCGUCCAUUUUUGAGAAAAAAGUAGAAAAAAUAUAGACGGUUUGGUGCAAUCUUCGAGUUCCAUUAUUGUGAUCAUGCAAUGGGAGUCAAUUAAACUGCAAAGCAAUCAAUUAAAUUAACAAUAUAAUAGAAUAAUCAUUCCAUAUUUUUAUUGUUACAAUUUUGUUACAUAAGUAAUUGUUAGCUUUUUUAAGAGAAUGUAUUUAGAGUGAAUCUCUUUUAUAUAUAUAUUUGUUAAAAGUAUACAUUGUGCAUAG